rnacentral:rRNA from 1 species
UACGGGGGGGGCAAGCGUUGUUCGGAAUUACUGGGCGUAAAGGGCGCGUAGGCGGUCCGCUAGGUUGGAUGUGAAAACUCUGGGCUUAACCCAGAGCCUGCAUUCAAAACUGACGGGCUAGAGUUCUGGAGGGGGUAGCGGAAUUCCUGGUGUAGCGGUGAAAUGCGUAGAUAUCAGGAGGAACACCGGUGGCGAAGGCGGCUACCUGGACCAACACUGACGCUGAGUGAGCGAAAGCCAGGGGAGCAAACGGG